rnacentral:rRNA from 1 species
AUUGAACGCUAGCGGGAUGCUUAACACAUGCAAGUCGAACGAGUGGCGGACGGGUGAGUAAUAUCUGGGAAAGUGCCCAGUAGAGGGGGAUAACUACUCGAAACAGUAGCUAAUACCGCAUACCAUUGGACCGGCCUAGAUGGGAUUAGCUAGUUGGUGGGGUAACGGCUCACCAAGGCAACGAUCCCUAGCUGGUUUGAGAGGAUGACCAGCCAGACUGGAGCGUAGACACGGGCCAGACUCCUAGGGGAGGCAGCAGUGGGGAAUAUUGCACAAUGGGAGAAACCCUGUUCCAUCCAUGCCGGGUGUAUUAAGAAGGCCUUGCGUUUGUAAAGUACUUUUGGCGGAGAGGCGUUAACGGCAGAAUAAGCACCGGCUAUCUACGUGCCAGCAGCCGCGGUAAUUC